rnacentral:rRNA from 1 species
AGAGUUAAACAGUGCGUGAAAUUGUUGAAAGGGAAACGUUUGACACCAGUCAUGCGGGUGGGAAAUCAGUCAUGUGCAGUGGGGAGUGAUGGGGGUUUGGACCGCAAGGCCAGCCUUUAUCUCAUCUUUGCUGUUGGUGAUGCACUUUUUCAUCUGCAGGUCAACAUCAGUUUCCUCCGCUGGACAAAACUCUGAGAGAAUGUGGCAGCUUUGGCUGUGUUAUAGCUCUGGGGCGAUACAGUGGCGGGGACUGAGGUUUCGCAGUGUGUGCUUUCGGGCAAGGCUGACUGGGUGCUACGGGGUGGUUCAGCGUACAAUGCUUGCAUUUUGCGUUGUGUCCGUUCUGUACUCGCCUAUCUCGGCUCUUCCACGCUUAGGAUGUUGACGUAAUGGUUUUAAACGACC